rnacentral:rRNA from 1 species
AGAGUUUGAUCCUGGCUCAGGACGAACGCUGGCGGCGCGCCUAACACAUGCAAGUCGAACGGAAAUGAUUGAAGUUUACUUUGGUCAUUUUAGUGGCGGACGGGUGAGUAACACGUGAGCAACCUGCCUUUCAGAGGGGGAUAACGUUUGGAAACGAACGCUAAUACCGCAUAACGUAUACGGAUGGCAUCGUCUGUAUACCAAAGGAGGAAUCCGCUGAAAGAUGGGCUCGCGUCCGAUUAGCUAGAUGGUGAGGUAACGGCCCACCAUGGCGACGAUCGGUAGCCGGACUGAGAGGUUGACCGGCCACAUUGGGACUGAGACACGGCCCAGACUCCUACGGGAGGCAGCAGUGAGGGAUAUUGGGCAAUGGGGGCAACCCUGACCCAGCGACGCCGCGUGAGGGAAGACGGUCUUCGGAUUGUAAACCUCUGUCUUUGGGGACGAAAAAGGACGGUACCCAAGGAGGAAGCUCCGGCUAACUACGUGCCAGCAGCCGCGGUAAUACGUAGGGAGCGAGCGUUGUCCGGAAUUACUGGGUGUAAAGGGAGCGUAGGCGGGAAGGCAAGUUGGAUGUGAAAACUGUGGGCUCAACCUACAGACUGCAUUCAAAACUGUUUUUCUUGAGUGAAGUAGAGGCAAGCGGAAUUCCUAGUGUAGCGGUGAAAUGCGUAGAUAUUAGGAGGAACACCAGUGGCGAAGGCGGCUUGCUGGGCUUUUACUGACGCUGAGGCUCGAAAGUGUGGGGAGCAAACAGGAUUAGAUACCCUGGUAGUCCACACCGUAAACGAUGAUUACUAGGUGUGGGCGCGAUAAGCGUCCGUGCCGGAGUUAACACAAUAAGUAAUCCACCUGGGGAGUACGGCCGCAAGGUUGAAACUCAAAGGAAUUGACGGGGGCCCGCACAAGCAGUGGA